rnacentral:rRNA from 1 species
CCAUGUGUAGCGGUGAAAUGCGCAGAGAUAUGGAGGAACACCAGUGGCGAAGGCGACUUUCUGGUCUGUAACUGACGCUGAUGUGCGAAAGCGUGGGGGUCAAACAGGAUUAGAUACCCUGGUAGUCCACGCCGUAAACGAUGAGUGCUAAGUGUUAGGGGGGUUUCCGCCCCUUAGUGCUGCAGCUAACGCAUUAAGCACUCCGCCUGGGGAGUACGACCGCAAGGUUGAAACUCAAAGGAAUUGACGGGGACCC